CGGCGGACGGGUGAGUAACGCGUAGGAAUCUACCCAGUAGUGGGGGACAACAGUCGGAAACGGCUGCUAAUACCGCAUACGCCCUAUGGGGGAAAGCGGGGGACCUUCGGGCCUCGCGCUAUUGGAUGAGCCUGCGUCGGAUUAGCUUGUUGGUGAGGUAAAAGCUCACCAAGGCGACGAUCCGUAGCUGGUCUGAGAGGAUGAUCAGCCACACUGGAACUGAGACACGGUCCAG
rnacentral:rRNA from 1 species